rnacentral:rRNA from 1 species
GAACGCAGCGACAGGCUAACACAUGCAAGUCAGGGGCAGCACAAGGAGCAAUCUGAGGUGGCGACCGGCGCACGGGUGAGUAACACGUAUGCAACCUGCCUGUAAGCGGGGAAUAACCCGUUGAAAGACGGACUAAUACCGCAUAAUACUAAAUUACUGCAUGGUAAUUUAUUUAAACAUUUAUGGCUUACAGAUGGGCAUGCGCAUGAUUAGCUAGUUGGAGAGGUAACGGCUCCCCAAGGCAACGAUCAUUAGGGGUUCUGAGAGGAAGGUCCCCCCACACUGGUACUGAGACACGGACCAGACUCCUACGGGAGGCAGCAGUGAGGAAUAUUGGUCAAUGGACGAGAGUCUGAACCAGCCAAGUCGCGUGCAGGAAGAAUUGUCCUAUGGAUUGUAAACUGCUUUUGCAGGGGAAUAAAGUGCAUCACGUGUGAUGUUUUGUAUGUACUCUGCGAAUAAGGAUCGGCUAACUCCGUGCCAGCCGCCGC